CCCCUGCACUCCGUUGUCAGUGUUUAUAAGGGAGCGAGCCUCCUCCUUAGCACCACAGUGUCUGGGACUGGCUGAGAACAGGAGCGUGGAAUCCUUCAAUAUGAAACUCUUACUGGUGUUAGCGUGCUUCCUGGUAGCCCGCCUGGCAAGUCCUCACCCAUGCUAUACUCCUCCUCUACUCACUGGAGCUCUCACUACAUCCACACAGAAUGAGGAGCUGUGGGCUUACGCUAGAUACCUGUACGAUGGAAUGGGGACAGCGGCUUCGGCUCUUUGAGCUGGUUGAUUACAAAAUAAGACAAUG